GUCCACGCCGUAAACGAUGGGAACUAGGUGCUGCGGGUAUUGACCCCUGCGGUGCCGCAGCUAACGCAAUAAGUUCCCCGCCUGGGAAGUACGGCCGCAAGGCUAAAACUCAAAGGAAUUGACGGGGGCCCGCACAAGCGGUGGAGCAUGUGGUUCAAUUCGACGCAACGCGAAGAACCUUACCCAGGCUUGACAUGUCUAGAAUCUCCUUGAAAGAGGAGAGUGCUCGCAAGAGAGCUAGAACACAGGUGCUGCAUGGCUGUCGU
rnacentral:rRNA from 1 species